rnacentral:tRNA from 8 species
GCGGGUAUAGUUUAAUGGUAAAAUUCCUCCUUGCCAAGCCAAGGAGAAUAUGCGGGUUCGAUUCCCGCUACCCGCC